rnacentral:rRNA from 1 species
UACGUAGGGGGCAAGCGUUGUCCGGAUUUAUUGGGCGUAAAGAGCUCGUAGGCGGUGUGUCGCGUCAGCCGUGAAAACCUGGGGCUCAACUCUGGGCGUGCGGUCGAUACGGGCAUCACUUGAGUUCGGCAGGGGAGACUGGAAUUCCUGGUGUAGCGGUGAAAUGCGCAGAUAUCAGGAGGAACACCGGUGGCGAAGGCGGGUCUCUGGGCCGAUACUGACGCUGAGGAGCGAAAGCAUGGGUAGCGAACAGG